rnacentral:rRNA from 1 species
CCUACGGGCGGCUGCAGUGGGGAAUAUUCCGCAAUGGGCGAAAGCCUGACGGAGCAAUGCCGCGUGAAUGAAGAAGGUCUUCGGAUCGUAAAGUUCUGUCAUUAGGGAAGAAAGGUACGUGUGUUAAUAAUGCGCGUAUUUGACGGUACCUAAGGAGGAAGCCACGGCUAACUACGUGCCAGCAGCCGCGGUAAUACGUAGGUGGCGAGCGUUGUCCGGAAUUACUGGGCGUAAAGGGCGUGUAGGCGGGAAUUUAAGUCAGAUGUGAAAACCCCGGGCUUAACUUGGGGACUGCAUUUGAUACUGGAUUUCUUGAGGACAGGAGAGGAAAGCGGAAUUCCUAGUGUAGCGGUGAAAUGCGUAGAUAUUAGGAGGAACACCAGUGGCGAAGGCGGCUUUCUGGACUGUAACUGACGCUGAGGCGCGAAAGCGUGGGGAGCGAACGGGCUUAGAUACCCCGGUAGUC